rnacentral:tRNA from 1 species
GCCCUCGUGGUGAAACGGAUAUCACGCAGCCCUCCGAAGGCUGAAGUCCAAGUUCGAUUCUUGGCGAGGGCA